GGUGUUCUUUAAAAACGGAGUGAGUCAAGGUGUUGCCUUUGAGAACCUGUUUGAAGGCAUGUACUUUCCGGCCAUCUCACUCUACAAGAGCUGCACGGUGUCCGUUAACUUCGGGCCAAAUUUCAAACACCCUCCGAAGGACCUCAAGUACCAGCCGAUGAGUGAUAUGGGCUGGGGCGCGGUGACUGAGCACACGCUGGCGGACAUGUUGUAUCACGUGGAGACGGAUGUGGACGGACGGCGUUCCCCCCCGUGGGAGGGAUGAAAGAAAUCAACAUACACACACCUUG